UUUGAAUUAAAACAUCAGCAGCCAUAAAACAUAUGGGUUUUCUUCUCCACAGAAAAUUUCCUCUUCGAUCUGCAUUGUCAUUUUUCAUCCUUAUACAAGCUACCCAUAUUGGUGAAAAAGAUUCAAAAGGUCCUGAAAGUCCCAAAUCUAAGAAUCAAAACUCUAUCUCUCUAUUUAUGUUGCUCCCUUUCUCAGCUAGAUCUAAUUUUUCUCAAAAUCCCCCAAAUCACAAGAUUUUAAUCUUAGUUUCUCGAUUCUUAAUUGAAGGAACAACUUUGCUGCUCCGUUUCUUUGCUUCCAGUUAGUGACCCAAAAUCUCAAAUCAGGACUAUAAAGAAUUUCGCAUAAAAGAGUCAUCCAGAGCGUAUUUGGUAUUGUUAUUGUGGAUUCGAUCUUGACAGAACUCUCAGCUAUUUCUUUUUUUGGUACUGUCUGUUAGGAUUCUCUAAGAUUGUUGAAGUCCAGAAUUCUCAUACAAGUGUGAAAUCUGUUUGGAUUAAUGAGCAUUAGGUUUCUCUGAUCUGCUAUGUCUGUCCAUUGGUAUGUGCCUGUUGUUGUUUUCUGCCUGCAUAAGUUUAAGAGUCUUGUUUCAGCUAUUAUUUUUCCUAAGAUUUCACUUACUUCCUUUCUAAAAGCUAUAUUAUGGUAAGAACUAAACCUCCUUGAGUUGCUACUUUGGCUGUUACUUGAUGGGUUGCUGCAUUUGAGACCUGCUGCCGUGUUCUUGAGCUGAAACGACUGCAUUUUGGGUCUUCUGUUUCUGCUUGUGUUCUACAAAAAAUGAACCGAUACUACAUUGAUGCCGCCUUGAAUGAGACUAGUUGUUGGCUGCUUGUUUGGCACACCCAUCGCUCAUAAGUUCUUGUUGUGUAGGCUGGCUGAUACCUUUUACAACUGUCUCUUGAGUUGCAUUUUUAGGGUAAGGAAAACACUGCAUUCUGGGCCAAAGUGUUGUUGCACUUUCAGGCAAACAGAUGCAACACUUGGAGGAAGUCAACUACUGUAUUUAAGGGCCGAUAAAUUUUUCGUUUAUGAACAACAUUUUCACUGCCUUUUGAGGGAAAACUACUGCUAUACCUUGGUGUUUACUCUUGAACGUGUUGCGGCUGGAGGCAAGCAACCACUAUUUGGGGCUAAAUGGUUGUUGUAUUUUCAGGCAUAAGGAUACUGCAAUAGAGAACUCUCUUUGUUGUUGGCUCAUCGUGUUACUUUGGCUGCAAAUCCAAGGGAAACAAAUGGUGGCUAUCCUUGUUAUUUAAGCCUCUGUGAUCAACAUAUUGUCCAUCUUGUGAGGAGUUGUGUUGUUACAUUCUUUUUUUUAAAAAAAAAAAACUUGUUGCCCUGAAAAGAGCAGCUGCACUUGAGGCCUGAAUCUGCUAAAGAUGAUUGCAAUCUUCAGCUACUAUUACGACUGGUUACUGUAGAAAACUGCUGCUAUGUCCUCUCCAAAGCAGAAGUUGCACUACACUUGAGCUGUUGUGUUAAAUUUUGCCUUGAGUUUCUAUUGUCUGCUGAAAUAUUCCACUUUCAUGGGAAUGAACAUGCUUUGGAAACGAACAGAUUCUUCAUCAAACGAAAACAACUGCUGUUGCUUUUCUUUUAAAGAACAGAAUGCUACGCUUGAUGAAAUUUUACUGAUUUGAACUUUAUACUACAUUUGGGCCAAUGAAAAAAAUUACUUUUUGAGGCCAUGCCUAGUCCGGAAAGGUUAUCCCUCGGUUUAGACAAUGAUGAUCUCACAGUGAUAUCACGUGGUAGGAACCGACAUGCGCUUGGCAAGGCAACUAGAAUGUCCCCUAGUUUGCAGCCGCGACAUGAUUUUGGUUCUUUUGCCAUAUUCGGAAUCGUGAGUCUGAGCCUAUGUGAUCAAAGAUCUCAAAGUUUGACACGAGUUCGAGGGAUAUUAUUAUUUACAUUCAUAAAUGUCACCCUAUCAUUUGACUAACUAUUUUCAUUUCAUUCCUGAGAGGUACAUCUAAUUAAUAUGGGUCUGCGAGAUGAGAUUCUACCAAAAACAAAGUGAAGUAAAGUGGUCCAGCAGGGACAAGGUUCUUAAACUAUCACAAAUAGAGACGAUCAAGGAGGAGUUUGAAGACACCUUGUGUUUUAUUUUUGUCAAAGGCAUCGAAGAAGGAGGCGUUUGUAGACAUCUAAUAUUUUCUUGUUUUUUGUCAAAGGUGUCGAAACAAGGAGGAGUAUGAAGACUGGAUACACUUCAUGUUUUAUUCCUUUUGUUAAUAUGUAAAUGCAUACAAUGGCACUAUGAUAAAGUAUUGGGUUGUGUAUGGUUAAUUGACUAUUUAGUAGGUAUUUAUUUAUAAUAUUCGGCUUGAGAAUGCUUUUGUUGUU